UAGUAUUAGUAUUAUUUCUAAAUAUCCAUGUGUAUGUUGCAUACAUACACGUAUAUGACAUAUAUGGGUGUGUUUUCUUUUAAGCAAUUGCAAGUUUCCAAAUACAUGCAAAGUAAAUUGAAAGAGUCGAUAGAGUUGCAGCAUUUUUAGAGAAAUAUCAAUGUUUCUCAAAUGUGCUAUUAAUUGUUGGAGGCAUAGCUCAUGUAUUAAAGUCUUCUAUCACAGUUGACUCCGCAAAAAUGAAGACAUUGAUACACUUUUGCAUUAUGGAAUACACAAGUUGGCAGUUCCUUGCCCACUGCCACCCAAAUACAGGUAAGUAUGCAUGCAUACACAACCCUCAAAAUUAGUAAAACUAAAAAGAGUAAUAAAUUUUCGACCUUAAACUGUUUUAGGUUGGCAUCAGAUUACAAUCGGCAAACAUAAAGCCAUUUUUACAAAGGUUUUACUAAAAAAGUUUAAAAUGAGGUCAGCAAAAAAUUGCCAACCUCAGGCAUUUUUAUGUUUUUGCUUGGUUAGGGUUAGAGUUAGGUACAAUAAUGUAUUGAAAUCAAUUAAUAAUUAAAUAAGGAAUGUGUUUUUAGAUAGUAAAGUUAAACACUUAAUAAAGUACUUGUUGCAAUUACUUUCAAAAGACUAAAACUGGACAUAUUGUUUUAGAAAA